UACGGAGGGUGCAAGCGUUAUCCGGAUUUACUGGGUUUAAAGGGUGCGUAGGUGGGUAAGUAAGUCAGUGGUGAAAUCUUCGAGCUUAACUCGGAAACUGCCAUUGAUACUAUUUAUCUUGAAUACUUUGGAGGUAAGCGGAAUAUGUCAUGUAGCGGUGAAAUGCUUAGAUAUGACAUAGAACACCAAUUGCGAAGGCAGCUUACUACACAGUUAUUGACACUGAGGCACGAAAGCGUGAGGAUCAAAACAGG
rnacentral:rRNA from 1 species